GGGAAUAUAGUUCAAUGGCAGAACGCUCCGCUGUUAACGGAUGGACGGAUGUUCGAAUCAUCCUGUUCCCG
rnacentral:tRNA from 1 species